UCCGAGUUGACCCCGGCAGUCUCCUAUGAGUCCCCGGCAUUACCCGCUGGCAACAUAGGACGAGGGUUGCGCUCGUUGCGGGACUUAACCCAACAUCUCACGACACGAGCUGACGACAACCAUGCACCACCUGUGCACGGCCCUUACGGACCUCACAUCUCUGUGAGAUUUCCCUGCAUGUCAAGCCUUGGUAAGGUUCUUCGCGUUGCGUCGAAUUAAGCCACAUGCUCCGCCGCUUGUGCGGGCCCCCGUCAAUUCCUUUGAGUUUUAGCCUUGCGACCGUACUCCCCAGGCGGAACACUUAUCGCGUUGGCUGCGGCACAGACAGAUUCGACUCCGCCCACACCUAGUGUUCAUCGUUUACGGCGUGGACUAC
rnacentral:misc_RNA from 1 species